AUGGUGGUGGACGACAAUGUUAGGAAAUCUGGAGAUGUCAUCGGGGCCCUGGGAAGAGUUAUCUUUUAUUUUUAACAACUUUCCCACCCUGAAAUCGGUUCAACCAGAGAUAGGUUCCAACAUAUGGAAGAGAACCACACGUCUUGCAGUGUUUGGUGUCCCCUCAAUGACCAUCAAAAAUAUGGAGAACCAAGUACCAUCCAUGCCCAAUCAUACUCAUAUCUGCCUCCUUGGAUUUC
rnacentral:ncRNA from 1 species